rnacentral:rRNA from 1 species
UCUUCCACAAUGGACGAAAGUCUGAUGGAGCAACGCCGCGUGAGUGAUGAAGGUUUUCGGAUCGUAAAACUCUGUUGUAAGGGAAGAACACGUACGAGAGGAAAUGCUCGUACCUUGACGGUACCUUACGAGAAAGCCCCGGCUAACUACGUGCCAGCAGCCGCGGUAAUACGUAGGUGGCAAGCGUUGUCCGGAAGUAUUGGGCGUAAAGCGCGCGCAGGCGGCCUUUUAAGUCUGAUGUGAAAGCCCCCGGCUCAACCGGGGAGGGCCAUUGGAAACUGGAAGGCUUGAGUACAGAAGAGAAGAGUGGAAUUCCACGUGUAGCGGUGAAAUGCGUAGAGAUGUGGAGGAACACCAGUGGCGAAGGCGACUCUUUGGUCUGUAACUGACGCUGAGGCGCGAAAGCGUGGGGAGCAAACAGG